rnacentral:rRNA from 1 species
UACAGAGGGGGCAAGCGUUGUUCGGAAUUACUGGGCGUAAAGGGCGCGUAGGCGGCCUGCUAAGUCGAACGUGAAAUCCCCGGGCUCAACCCGGGAACUGCGUCCGAUACUGACAGGCUUGAAUCCGGGAGAGGGAUGCGGAAUUCCAGGUGUAGCGGUGAAAUGCGUAGAUAUCUGGAGGAACACCGGUGGCGAAGGCGGCUUCCUGGACCGAUACUGACGCUGAGGCGCGAAAGCUAGGGGAGCAAACGGG